rnacentral:lncRNA from 1 species
CAUAACAAGGGUUCUAGCGGUGGUGUAGGGAUAAUCAAUGGCCUAGGCACUAGAAGUAAAAAACCAAUCUAGUCUCUCUAGCAAGGGUGGGUGUUGUUUGUUGGUCCAAGUGAACUUUCUCCCUUGUAAGAGGAUUUUAGCCAGCCCAGGCCAAUUUCUAUCCUUAGGUUUCCUUAAUAGAUUGAAGUCACCUACUACAAGCCAACACAUAUCAUCAGACAUUCUGACAUUACCAAACCAAUCCAUGAAAUUUUGUUUUCCCUCAGCAUCGCAGGGGCCAUAAAUAUUAGUCAAAACCCAAAGAGAAUUAUCAUGACAGGAGGUGAAUUCCAAUGACAAAGCAAAGUUAUUUCUAAAAACUUCUACUCCCCCCAAAAACCGCCCCUUUCCAAACAAUUAGAAUCCCCCAAAUGCACCAACAAAGGGAAUAAAGCAAAAGUUGUUAAAAGAUGGAGGGUAGAAAAGCUUAAUAAAGAGAAUAUCAAAAUUCUCUUUUUUGGUCUCCUAGAUGCAAAUCACAUCACACUAGCUUUCAAUCACUUUGUUUUUGAGAGACUCCCACUUAUUUUCAGCAUUAAGUCCUCUGAUAUUCCAGCAUAGCACAUUCCAAGCUUUACUAUUGUUUCUAGGAUCCAUAAAUAACAUAGAUAAAAGUGCAAAAGACAAGUGUACCUAUGCUUAACAUAAGUACACAAAUUGGCAUUCUACUAGCCAAAAGCUUCAUGAAGUUUAUAAAAAGAAAAAGAAAAAACACACUUGCUGCCUAAGGGCACCCAUCUAGGUCAAAAAACAUCCACCAUCCUGGGCCACCAGCUUCCUAGGCUAUUGGGACAUUACAUCUGUCUUCAGAGCUUGCUAGAUUCAUCUUUGUCAACAUCUUCAGAUAGAGGAGCUUCGUUCAAAGGCCUAUUCCCCAAAGGGGUGGGCUUCUUCUUCUUCUUGGAGAGAGCAACAUCAUUUAGGGAUUCAAGGUCCAGAUCACAUAGAGUAGAGCCCAUCUUUCUAAUAGUCUUAUUAGAGAGCAUUGGUGGAGUUGCAUUACAGCCC